rnacentral:rRNA from 1 species
UGGAUAACUGCACGAAUUGUGGAGCUAAUACAUGCGCAAAAAGCCGACUCCUGGGAAGGCUUGUAUUUAUUAGAUAUAGAACCAAUACCUUCGGGUUUUUUGGAUGAUUCAUAAUAAACGUAUGGAGCCCAUGGCGUGAGCCGGGGCUGUACGGUUCGAGUUUCUGACCUAUCAGCUUUCGUCGGUAGUGUAUUGGACUACCGAGGCAUUGACGGGUAACGGAGUAUUAGGGUACGAUUCCGGAGAGGGAGCCCGAGAAACGGCUACCACAUCUAAGGAAGGCAGCAGGCGCGUAAAUUACCCAAUCCUGACACAGGGAGGUAGUGACAAGAAAUAACAGAGGAGGACCUCAUUGGUUUUCCGUUUGGAAUGAGCAGAAUUUAAAUCUCUUUUCGACUAUCAAUUGGAGGGCAAGUCUGGUGCCAGCAGCCGCGGUAAUUCCAGCUCCAAUAGCGUAUGUUAAAGUUGUUGUGGCUAAAAAGCUCGUAGUUGGAUUUCUGUUGAGGACAUCUGGGUCCGCUCUAUGAGCGUGCAUCUAGUUUGGCCUCGGCAUCCGCUCUGCAUACAUGUCUGCGCUUGAUUGCGUGGCGUGGAGGUAHGGCCUUUUACUUUGAGGAAAUUAAGAGUGUUCACGGCAGGCAGUCGCCUUGAAUAUAUUAGCAUGGAAUAAUAAUAUAGGAUCUUGGUUCAUUUUGUUGGGUUCUAGAGCUAGGAUAAUGAUUAAUAGGGACAAUUGGGGG